rnacentral:rRNA from 1 species
AUAUCAAUAAGCGGAGGAAAAGAAACUAACAAGGAUUCCCCUAGUAACGGCGAGUGAAGCGGGAAGAGCUCAAGCUUAAAAUCUCUGCGCGAGUUUCGUGCGGCGAAUUGUAGUCUAUAGAUGCGUGGUCAGCGUUGGCGCUCGGGGCAAGUUCCUUGGAAGAGGACAGCAUGGAGGGUGAUACUCCCGUUCAUCUCUGAGUGGCUGGUGCGUACGACCCGUUUUCUUUGAGUCGCGUUGUUUGGGAAUGCAGCGCAAAGUAGGUGGUAAAUUCCAUCUAAAGCUAAAUAUUGGUGCGAGACCGAUAGCGAACAAGUACCGUGAGGGAAAGAUGAAAAGAACUUUGAAAAGAGAGUUAAAGAGUACCUGAAACUGCUGAAAGGGAACCGAAUCGUUUCCAGUGUCUAUAAUCCGCGGCAUAUUUCAUCGGCGAGUGUGUGCGUGCGCGUGCUUUGGCAGUGGCUUUUGUGGCUGCGCUGGGCGUGUGCUGUGCGUGUGUUUGCUGGUGCCCUGUGUUGCGGUGGGACGUCAAGGUCAGUUCGUGUGCUGCGGGAAAUGGCUGCCGAGGAGGUAGGGCUUACGCUCCGCGUUUGUCUGUUAUAUCUUGGUGGACGAGUCGUCGUGGUUGGGACUGAGGUGCCUACAACGUGCUUUUGAGUGAGUGUGCGUCUCUGUGCGCUUGCUGUGCGGAUAGCUUGCUAUGCGUGUGGCGUAGUGUUUGGAUGGAUGUGCGCUUUUGCUUGUUGCCGUUCGGGACGUUGACGAAAUGGAGCGAUCCGACCCGUCUUGAAACACGGACCAAGGAGUCUAACAUGUGU